CAGCCGCCACGGUAAUACAGAGGGUGCGAGCGUUAAUCGGAUUUACUGGGCGUAAAGCGUGCGUAGGCGGCUUCUUAAGUCGGAUGUGAAAUCCCUGAGCUUAACUUAGGAAUUGCAUUCGAUACUGGGAAGCUAGAGUAUGGGAGAGGAUGGUAGAAUUCCAGGUGUAGCGGUGAAAUGCGUAAAGAUCUGGAGGAAUACCGAUGGCGAAGGCAGCCAUCUGGCCUAAUACUGACGCUGAGGUACGAAAGCAUGGGGAGCAAACAGGAUUAGAGACCCCGGUAGUCCCUGUCUCUUAUAC
rnacentral:rRNA from 1 species